CAUAUUAAUUGAUAAUAUAUUUAUUAAUAUAUAGUAAUUAUUAUUUUUAUUAUUCAAUAAAUAUAUAAAAUAUAUCACAAUGUACUUUGUACUUUUUGAUAAAAUUAAAUUAAAAAGUUACGAUUAUUGUUAUGAACAAUCUGUUUUCGAUUUGGAUAAAAUUUUGUAAAUUUUAAGAAUACCAUAAUAUAUAAUAUAUAAUGUAUAAUAUAUAGCAUAAUAGCAUAAUAACAUGUAAUAAUUUUUGCUCCAGGAAAUAAAAUGCUUGCAACCGUUUUAUCCCAACUUGCAAAAAUCAAUGAUCUGCUAGAACAUAACGCUGCGACCAAUGCUUUUUUAAAAAAUAUAAUAAAAAUGCCAAUUGAUGUAGAGAAAUAUAUGUAAAUUUUGAAAUUCAAUUUAAUGACACAUAUAUAUUUUUAUUCAUGAUUGUAAUCUAAUGAAAUGUUCACGAGUGGUUUAAGAAAUAAAAAACUAUUUCUUAAAAUUUAAAUUUCAAAAAA